rnacentral:rRNA from 1 species
UACCAGCACCCCGAGUGGUCGGGACGAUUAUUGGGCCUAAAGCAUCCGUAGCCGGCCUUACAAGUCCUCCGUUAAAUCCAGCUGCUUAACAGAUGGGCUGCGGAGGAUACUAUAAGACUAGGAGGCAGGAGAGGCAAGCGGUACUCAGUGGGUAGGGGUAAAAUCCGUUGAUCCAUUGAAGACCACCAGUGGCGAAGGCGGCUUGCCAGGAUGCGCUCGACGGUGAGGGAUGAAAGCUGGGGGAGCAAACCGG